AAAGACCGUGUUUACAGCAAAAAGCCUGCAGGUAAUGAUUCUACUCACCAGAACAAAUUAAACAAGCUGUAGUUGUUCUGGUGACAAUAGUGUCCCUUUAAGGACUGAGCUAAAUGUACACGUUGUGAUCAAAACAAAGCGUAAACAAAAACUUGAAUUUGCGCUAUAUGUCUGUUCAGGUGUAAUUCGCCUCUUUCAUAUUAUGUGCACCCACCCUUGUUAUAUAUAAUUUUAUUCAGGGAACACAGGGCUUUCAUUUAACAUCAAAUAUUUAGGUAUGAAACAUAAUUUAAUAUGAAUGUUAGUUCUACCUGACAUUCUAACUGUGAAUGUCAUAAAACUGUUUGCUUUUACUGCAAUAAAACAAC